rnacentral:rRNA from 1 species
CGACGGCAGCACGGGAGCAAUCCUGGUGGCGAGUGGCGAACGCGUGAGUAAUGUAUCGGAACGUACCUUUCAGUGGGGGAUAACGUAGCGAAAGUUACGCUAAUACCGCAUAUUCUGUGAGCAGGAAAGCAGGGGAUCGCAAGACCUUGCGCUGAUUGAGCGGCCGAUAUCAGAUUAGCUAGUUGGUGAGGUAAAGGCUCACCAAGGCGACGAUCUGUAGCGGGUCUGAGAGGAUGAUCCGCCACACUGGAACUGAGACACGGUCCAGACUCCUACGGGAGGCAGCAGUGGGGAAUUUUGGACAAUGGGGGCAACCCUGAUCCAGCCAUGCCGCGUGAGUGAAGAAGGCCUUCGGGUUGUAAAGCUCUUUCAGCCGGGAAGAAAUCACAUGGGUUAAUACCCUGUGUGGAUGACGGUACCGGAAUAAGAAGCACCGGCUAACUACGUGCCAGCAGCCGCGGUAAUACGUAGGGUGCGAGCGUUAAUCGGAAUUACUGGGCGUAAAGCGUGCGCAGGCGGUUUGUUAAGAUAGGCGUGAAAUCCCCGGGCUCAACCUGGGAACUGCGUUUAUGACUGGCAGGCUAGAGUAUGGCAGAGGGGGGUGGAAUUCCACGUGUAGCAGUGAAAUGCGUAGAGAUGUGGAGGAACACCGAUGGCGAAGGCAGCCCCCUGGGCCAAUACUGACGCUCAUGCACGAAAGCGUGGGUAGCAAACAGGAUU